rnacentral:rRNA from 1 species
GACGAACGCUGGCGGCGUGCUUAACACAUGCAAGUCGAACGGAAAGGCCCUGCUUUUGUGGGGUGCUCGAGUGGCGAACGGGUGAGUAACACGUGAGUAACCUGCCCUUGACUUUGGGAUAACUUCAGGAAACUGGGGCUAAUACCGGAUAGGAGCUCCUGCUGCAUGGUGGGGGUUGGAAAGUUUCGGCGGUUGGGGAUGGACUCGCGGCUUAUCAGCUUGUUGGUGGGGUAGUGGCUUACCAAGGCUUUGACGGGUAGCCGGCCUGAGAGGGUGACCGGCCACAUUGGGACUGAGAUACGGCCCAGACUCCUACGGGAGGCAGCAGUGGGGAAUAUUGCACAAUGGGCGGAAGCCUGAUGCAGCAACGCCGCGUGCGGGAUGACGGCCUUCGGGUUGUAAACCGCUUGCCUGUGACGAAGCGUGAGUGACGGUAAUGGGUAAAGAAGCACCGGCUAACUACGUG